rfam:Paenibacillus sp. Leaf72 contig_9, whole genome shotgun sequence.
AAUUGAUAAAGGCAAACCUGAUCGAAAGACAGGGACGCAAAGCCGCGGGUCUUCACGGAAAACCAUAAUUAUGGUUGCCGUAUGACAGCCGGGCCGCCAAA